rnacentral:rRNA from 1 species
GAUGAACGCUGGCGGCGUGCCUAAUACAUGCAAGUCGAGCGAACAGACGAGGAGCUUGCUCCUCUGACGUUAGCGGCGGACGGGUGAGUAACACGUGGAUAACCUACCUAUAAGACUGGGAUAACUUCGGGAAACCGGAGCUAAUACCGGAUAAUAUAUUGAACCGCAUGGUUCAAUAGUGAAAGACGGUUUUGCUGUCACUUAUAGAUGGAUCCGCGCCGCAUUAGCUAGUUGGUAAGGUAACGGCUUACCAAGGCAACGAUGCGUAGCCGACCUGAGAGGGUGAUCGGCCGCACUGGAACUGAGACACGGUCCAGACUCCUACGGGAGGCAGCAGUAGGGAAUCUUCCGAAAUGGGCGAAAGCCUGACGGAGCAACGCCGCGUGAGUGAUGAAGGUCUUCGGAUCGUAAAACUCUGUUAUUAGGGAAGAACAAAUGUGUAAGUAACUAUGCACGUCUUGACGGUACCUAAUCAGAAAGCCACGGCUAACUACGUG